UUAUUUUUUGAAAAAUACAGGCAAGACAGCUCGCCUUGAGGCUAAACAAAUGUAGGUGUGCCCCCUAUUAACUGUGUUGUCCAGUCAGUGCUGGAAAUCAACAAGGUUUCCGUUUUGGAUAACACAAGCGUUUGAAAAGUAUAAUUCCUCAAUAUUCUCAUCCUUUUGGGAGUUUCUAAACUCCAGUCACAUAUCGUUUGAUUUCAAGGAGCUGUGACGUUGCUUCGGGCUAGUCUAUGACGUCACACCCAGUACCGGUCUCUCCGCAGUGUGGAAAUAGUUGGUGGAGCGCACGCAGUCCGAUCCACAAAACACCUUUUUAGCUAAGGGACAAAUAUACAUUUGUGAGUUUCUUGUCGGCAUCGAUUGGACAGGAUUUGUAUUAUUUUUAACAGGCUCCGAAAGACGCUCAGUCAGUGAAGGACGUUUGAAAUCGGACUUCUGAUUAGUUCACGAUUAAAGUUCAAACCGGGAAAAGACACGGAUAGAGGUUGUUUUAUCAACGACAUAAGAGUCAUUUAAAUCAGAGCACAGACAGCAUGGCGAGAGAAGAUGCUCGAAAUUGGCAUGACUUCACAAAAAUGAUCGGACUGCUCAGCGUGGUCACGUUGCUGACUUUUCAAGGGGCGGUGUCUCAGCAGGUGAAGGUGGAACCGGAAGUGAUGUCCUACCCCAGCCAGGCGGUCAACCUGAGGUGUGCCUUCACAGACGCUGUAGGGAUACAGCUCACACAGGUCAGUGUCAGACAGGAACUCGUAUGUAGACAAAUGGAUACGUUUUUACAACAUGAGAAGAAAGUCCUAAAUGAUCAGACACACAUACAGGAACUAAUGUCUGGACUCGUGGAUUUUACCGUCAUAACAAUUUACGUCCAUUUCCAUUAACAACAACACUUGUCCCUGAUCAUCCAGGUUUACGUGCACUGUACUUGGAUUGUCUGAUAUCUACCAUAGUGUAGGUAGCAGAGGUGGGACCAAGUCAUUGUUUUACAAGUCACAAGUAAGUCUCAAGUCAAGACAGGCAAGUCCGAGUCAAGUCUCAAGUCCUAAAAUUUGAGUUUCGAGUCCUUAACAAGUCAUAAUGUGCUCUUCACCAAAUGUAAUACAAUUUCAUAUUUUUUAACAAGAGUAAGUUAGUAUAUUACAUUCACGCAAAUCAUGAAUGCUUUUAAAAAUAUCUAUAUAUUUAUUACUUUCCAAAUAAGCGUUAUAUUUCCAUGGAAAUACAUGGGCAGCCAUGAGAACCCCCCCCAAUAGUGGUCGACUAUCGAGGAUCUAUAUGGGGCGCAAUCGGGCGACGUAGGCUUGUACACAAUCGCCCAACCUUAACACACACACACACACACACUCUCUGUGUGGUUACAGUAGGCUAACGUAUAUCAAUGGUUUUAGGAACAGCAGUAACAUCAGGCAGGAUUUAGACUACCAACUGCCUAGCCAGUAGUAGCUCAAUCUUGGGUGCAAUGAUCACGUUCCCACACUGACUGACUGUGUGGAGGCUCAUUGAUUUAACGUUACAUUAGCCUACAUGCUACAAUAGUAAAGUUAUAAAUUAUAUAGAUGUUGGCUAUAUUAGCCACGACUUACCGUUUUUUUGUGCAGCUUCAAAUGUCGAACGAAGUUGGAAGUUGUUGCGCCUCCGUCUGUAAUUUUCUUCCUACAUGUUUUGCAAGUUGCAAUCCAUUUUUUGUUGAUACAAUGUCGUCUUUAUAUCUGAAAAUAAUAACUUUGGGUAUCAUCUUUCCAUGGGCUCCGACUGAAUUCACUUGCCAACGUUCCUCUGCA
rnacentral:lncRNA from 8 species